AAGAUCUAAUCCUUCUAGUAUAAAUCCAUAAGGGAAGGAAAUAAGAGUGAUAUACCUGAGGUAGAAACUGUUAGGAUGAAUUAACAUUUUGAGGAUGUAUCAUAUAGUGUGUCUUUAUUUUUUAGGUAUGCUGGAAAUUUUUAAAGGGUUUGGAGUUGCCAAGAUUUGAACCCUUGACCUCCAACACUACAAGGCAAGCACUCAAAACUGGUCUGCUAGCCCAGUGACAUAAUACUUCAGAGUGUCUAAAAAUGGUAUUGUUGUUGAAGUCUGGUUUGGAUAAAAUUUCCAACCUGCAACUGAAAAGACUUUUCUGUUUGCCUGAAAUGUCCAAUGAUAAUUGACCUAUUCUUUUUGGAUUUGGUUAGGUUAGUCAGUUUUGUGGUUGUAAUAUGGUCCUGAACAAAUUAUAAAAUACAGAACAAAUUUUAUAUUUCAAGAGAUUAUGACACGCCUGGUGUCAAAUUUUUACUUAUUUUUAUUUUUUUAUUCUUCACAAUCAAGUGGAUGAAUAAAGCCAAUUUUCUAAGAACAUUUGGCCAUAUUUAUUGAGCUAGAAUUAAAAAAAAAAAAAUGCAUGCCAUGUGUUCAUAAAAGACUCUUUAAGGGAACUUCGGUCCCAGAUAUUAUAGUAUUAAGGUAGAGAGAGUUAUAAUGUAGCAAGAUGAGAAGCAAAGAUAUAUUGGCUAAAAAAAAAUGGAAAAUUGAUGUUUCCUUGACAAAUAAUUGACAUUUAGGCCUAAUAAGAAUUUAAGGAGAAGCAAACCCUAUUUAAUGAGGACCUAUUCCAAGCCCAAAGCCAAAACUUUCUACAUUAUCCAUUAUUCUGAUAUUAUUCUUGAAAUCUUUCCAUUAAUUGCAGAAUUAAUUUCAUGCAUAGCUUGAUCCAUAUCUUCAACUACCCAAGAUGCAAGUAGGGUUAUUAUGCCAAGUAAUCAAUCCAUGGACAUGGCAUUAAAUGUAGAUUUAAUAUUUGAAUAAUAGAAAUAUAAAAUAGAAUUAAUUUUCAUGCAUCUGCAUGCUAAACAGCUAAAUUUCAUUCUCUCACUUUAGAUCGUAUCUUUUUCUCCUACAAGAGUGGCAAUUUCCUCUUCAUAUACUAGGUAUGAGAACAGGAUCAUUGCUGAACCUAGUUCUGGAAAAAGUUGGCAACAAAAAACACUCCUCAGCAUGAUUCUCAACAAGUUUAAAGGAUAGGUUUUAGCAAUGUUGCUGUUAUUGUAUUCUAAGCAUUAACAUAUCAAGACUUACCACCACUUUCUGAUAUCGUAACUUGGUAAUUAACAUAUAAAAAUUUUCAUACGGUAAAAAUUUAUUGAAUAUGUGACAUGUCUGAAACAGUCUCUAGUUUGGCGUGAAUUUGAUGAAGCUCUAGUCAUCAUCAUCUGUCUUCAUUGAAUUUUGUAUGUAUGUAUCUAUAUAUAUAUAGUGAUUCCUAGUUUGUUGCAGUGAUUUCAUUUCCCUUGGUACACCUUUAGUUUCCUUGUAUCUAUCAAGCAAAUGGAACGUUUUUUUCUUCUCUUGCUGAUCAGUUAAACAAUGGAACUGGAUUUAACCUUAUGUGCUUCAAUGCAGGUCCAAAAGAUUGAUGUCACAA
rnacentral:misc_RNA from 1 species